GGUCGGUAUUACGAAGCAUUCCUAAGACUUGUCAUAAGACAUAUCUUAGGACAUGUAUUAUGAUCCUCUUAUGACUAUCUAUGGACAUAUCUUUAUUUGAUGAAUUAUAAUUGUGAGUGUCCACUUUGAAGGCAAUAGCAAAAUACUUUCUUUCUAGUUGACACUAAAAGACAUAAGAGGAUAGCCAGGAUAGAUGUGUCUACAAAUAAAAUUG
rnacentral:lncRNA from 1 species